rnacentral:rRNA from 1 species
UGAGGAAUAUUGGUCAAUGGGCGCGAGCCUGAACCAGCCAUUCCGCGUGAAGGAAGAAGGCCUUAUGGGUUGUAAACUUCUUUUCUGUAAGAAGAAAAGUCCCGACGUGUCGGGAUGUGACGGUACCCUGGGAAUAAGCAUCGGCUAACUCCGUGCCAGCAGCCGCGGUAAUACGGAGGAUGCGAGCGUUAUCCGGAUUUAUUGGGUUUAAAGGGUGCGUAGGCGGACUAUUAAGUCAGUGGUGAAAUCCUGCAGCUUAACUGCAGAACUGCCAUUGAUACUGAUAGCCUUGAGUUUGGUUAAGGUAGGCGGAAUGUGUAAUGUAGCGGUGAAAUGCUUAGAUAUUACACAGAACACCGAUUGCGAAGGCAGCUUGCUGGGCCAUUACUGACGCUGAUGCACGAAAGCGUGGGGAGCAAACA